rnacentral:rRNA from 1 species
AAUGAACGUUGGCGGCAUGGAUUAGGCAUGCAAGUCGAGCGAGAAGUGUAGCAAUACACGGAAAGCGGCGGAAGGGAGAGUAAUACGUGGGAAUCUGCCCUUAGACCUGGGAUAGCAGCGGGAAACUGCUGGUAAUACCAGAUAAUGUCUAUGGACCAAAGGUGUGAUUCCGUCUAGGGAUGAGACCACGUCUGAUUAGCUAGUUGGUAGGGUAAUGGCCUACCAAGGCGAUGAUGGGUAGCGGGUGUGAGGGCAUGACCCGCCUCACUGGGACUGAGACACUGCCCAGACACCUACGGGUGGCUGCAGUCGAGAAUCUUCGGCAAUGGGCGCAAGCCUGACCGAGCGAUGCCGCGUGCGGGAUGAAGGCCUUCGGGUUGUAAACCGCUGUCGAGGGGGAGCAACUUCCAUAGAGUUAUCUUUAUGGAUUGAGUGAUCCCUGGAGGAAGGACGGGCUAAGUUCGUGCCAGCAGCCGCCGUAAAAC